UACGAAGGGGGCUAGCGUUGUUCGGAAUUACUGGGCGUAAAGCGCACGUAGGCGGGGCGUUAAGUCAGGGGUGAAAUCCCAGAGCUCAACUCUGGAACUGCCUUUGAUACUGGCGACCUAGAGUUCGGAAGAGGUUAGUGGAAUUCCCAGUGUAGAGGUGAAAUUCGUAGAUAUUGGGAAGAACACCAGUGGCGAAGGCGGCUAACUGGUCCGAUACUGACGCUGAGGUGCGAAAGCGUGGGGAGCAAACAGG
rnacentral:rRNA from 1 species